rnacentral:lncRNA from 1 species
AUUUCAAAAAAUCAAAUAAAAUUGAUGAUAUCUUGGGAAUGGAUGAAUGGAUUUAAAUGAAAAUUGAUGAAAAUUGGCACUCGUCGGUUUGGUGGAUGGCUGAUGACGAAUCUGAAGUCAGAUUGCGAAAUGGUGGAAUAUAAAUCUAAAAAUAUUCCGAAUUUGGUUCAAAUUGGUAGACGGAGGUUUUUUGGGUCACCGAUAACGAAUCCAAGGUCGGACUUGCAAAAUUUUCAACGAUUGAUCCAUUAUAAUGGUUCAAAGUUAAAAAAAAAUCGCCAUAAUUUCAGGUUGUUUCGUUGGUCGGUGGUAGACGAACCGACGGAUUCAUUUUAAAUUACAAGUCGUCGCGUCGGUAGAAGUCUAACAGCAGCAGCAGCAGCAGCGGCAGUCGACGAAAGUAAAAC